GAUGAAGAACGUAGCGAAAUGCGAUACGUAAUGUGAAUUGCAGAAUUCAGUGAAUCAUCGAGUCUUUGAACGCACAUUGCGCCCCCUGGUAUUCCGGGGGGCAUGCCUGUCCGAGCGUCAUUGCUGCCCUCAAGCACGGCUUGUGUGUUGGGCCUCCGUCCUCCUCCCGGGGGACGGGCCCGAAAGGCAGCGGCGGCACCGCGUCCGGUCCUCGAGCGUAUGGGGCUUCGUCACCCGCUCUUGUAGGCCCGGCCGGCGCUUGCCGACACAUCAAUCUUUUUUCCAGGUUGACCUCGGAUCAGGUAGGGAUACCCGCUGAACUUAAACAUAUCAAUAAGCGGAGGA
rnacentral:misc_RNA from 1 species